UACGGAAGGGGCCAGCGUUGUUCGGAAUUACUGGGCGUAAAGCGCGCGUAGGCGGCUUUUCAAGUGAGGCGUGAAAGUCCUGGGCUCAACCUGGGGACGGCGCUUCAGACUGUCUGGCUAGAGUCCGGAAGAGGGUGGUGGAAUUCCGAGUGUAGAGGUGAAAUUCGUAGAUAUUCGGAGGAACACCGGUGGCGAAGGCGGCUACCUGGACAGAAACUGACGCUGAGGCACGAAAGCUAGGGGAGCAAACAGG
rnacentral:rRNA from 1 species